rnacentral:rRNA from 1 species
CAAGAUUAAGCCAUGCAUGUCUAAGCAUAAAUGAAUUCAUAGUGAAGCCGCGAAUAGCUCAUUACAACAGCCAUAGUUUACUGGAUAUAUCUUCUACAUGGAUAACUGUGGUAAUUCUACAGCUAAUACACGCAUCAAAACCCAACCUUUACGGUGGGGUGCGUUUGUUACUUCAAACCAAUCGGACCUCGGUCUGAAUUCUAGUGAUAUUGAACAAUUUAGCUGAUCGCACGGUCUAAGCACCGGCGACAUAUCCUUCAAAUGUCUGCCUUAUCAACUUUCGAUGGUAGAUUAUGCGCCUACCAUGGUUGUAACGGGUAACGGAGAAUCAGGGUUUGAUUCCGGAGAGGGAGCCUGAGAAACGGCUACCACAUCCAAGGAAG